GGCGCCAUGGCUUAGUUGUAAAGCGCCUGUCUAGUAAACAGGAGAUCCUGGGUUCGAUCCCCAGUGGUGCCU
rfam:Ciona savignyi cont_35354, whole genome shotgun sequence.